rnacentral:rRNA from 1 species
UACGAAGGGGGCUAGCGUUGUUCGGAAUUACUGGGCGUAAAGCGCGCGCAGGCGGCCUUCCAAGUCAGUGGUGAAAGCCCGGAGCUCAACUCCGGAACUGCCAUUGAAACUGUGAGACUUGAGGAUGAGAGAGGUGAGUGGAAUUCCCAGUGUAGAGGUGAAAUUCGUAGAUAUUGGGAAGAACACCGGUGGCGAAGGCGGCUCACUGGACCAUUACUGACGCUGAGGCACGAAAGCUAGGGGAGCAAACAGG